rnacentral:rRNA from 1 species
UGGCGGACGGGUGAGUAACGCGUGGAAAACCUGCCGUAUACUGGGGGAUAACACUUAGAAAUAGGUGCUAAUACCGCAUAAGCGCACAGCUUCGCAUGAAGCGGUGUGAAAAACUCUGGUAGUAUACGAUGGUUCCGCGUCUGAUUAGCUAGUUGGUGGGGUAAUGGCCUACCAAGGCAACGAUCAGUAGCCGGCCUGAGAGGGUGAACGGCCACAUUGGGACUGAGACACGGCCCAAACUCCUACGGAAGGCAGCAG